AUUGAACGCUAGCGGGAUGCCUUACACAUGCAAGUCGAACGGAGUGGCGAACGGGUGAGUAAUGUAUCGGAACGUGCCCAGUCGCGGGGGAUAACUACGCGACAGCGUAGCUGAUCCCGCAUACUAUUGGAUCGGACGAUUACGGAUUAUCUAGUUGGUGGGGUAACGGCUCACCAAGGCGACGAUCCGUAGCUGGUCUGAGCGGACGACCAGCCACACUGGGACUGAGACACGGCCCAGACUCCUACGGGAGGCAGCAGUGGGGAAUUUUGGACAAUGGGGGAAACCCUGACCCAGCCAUCCCGCGUGUGCGAUGAAGGCCUUCGGGUUGUAAAGCACUUUUGGCAGGAAAGCGGUACCUGCAGAAUAAGCACCGGCUAACUACGUGCCAGCCGCCGCGGUAAUAC
rnacentral:rRNA from 1 species